rnacentral:rRNA from 1 species
GACGGGGACCCGCACAAGCGGUGGAUGAUGUGGAUUAAUUCGAUGCAACGCGAAGAACCUUACCUACCCUUGACGUGUCCGGAACUUGCCAGAGAUGGCUUGGUGCCCGAAAGGGAACCGGAACACAGGUGCUGCAUGGCUGUCGUCAGCUCGUGUCGUGAGAUGUUGGGUUAAGUCCCGCAACGAGCGCAACCCUUGUCCUUAGUUGCUACGCAAGAGCACUCUAAGGAGACUGCCGGUGACAAACCGGAGGAAGGUGGGGAUGACGUCAAGUCCUCAUGGCCCUUAUGGGUAGGGCUUCACACGUCAUACAAUGGUCGGUACAGAGGGUUGCCAAGCCGCGAGGUGGAGCCAAUCCCACAAAGCCGAUCGUAGUCCGGAUUGUUCUCUGCAACUCGAGAGCAUGAAGUCGGAAUCGCUAGUAAUCGCGGGUCAGCAUACUGCGGUGAAUACGUUCCCGGGUCUU